AUCUGGGCUGCCUCCGGAGUCGCAGUGUCUUGGGCCGCCUGAAGAUAUUAUUUCCCCCUGAUGCUUUCCUGAAAGCUCCUGCAAUCAACUACAGGUCAGAAUGUUCGUCUCCAAGACAGGACUCCCUCUGAGACUCACAGAAAAGACUAUGACAGGAUGAAUGAAAACAAAAGCAUUUCUUGCUCCACAUCCCGAUGCCAAGGUGAGCAGUUUCCAGUGCAAGUCAGGGGCCCUGGGAAGACUUCAACAAGCAGCUCUGGAAAACGAGGAGGCUCCACCCUGGAGAAGCCGCAUCUCAGCUGUCACCCUGGGUGUGGUGAGACCAGGAGGCAUUUCCAUGAUUUAUGUAACACCUCGCUCCCAAAAGCAUCUGAAGCAUUUCACACACGUACAAGCAUCGGGCAGAAUUAAGAGUAAAUAAAGGCUCCUGGACGCAUGCGUUCCCAUCAGGGAGGCCUUCGUUUCCGGGGUCGACGCGUGGGCGCUUCCUCCGUCCAAGCGCAGCGGGUAUUUGCAAAAGAACCGCAAUAAGCUCCCCCAGGCAGGGUCCUCAGAAGGGCGCAGACCUCCGGCUGGAGGCGGUCCUGAGUGUUAGGGCUGGGCCGACUCGAGGGCGGGUCCUCUCCGCCCUGCCCCCGCGGUCCCCUGUCGGCCCAGCGUCCCCGCCGCGCGCUCGGAGGAGCUCUUUGCUCACGGAGGACGUGCCUCUCCCGACGCCUCGCGGGCUUCCCCUCCCAGGAACGGCGGAGUUCUGCAUGGACGCGGCGGGAGAAAGGAGCGGGUUAGGGUCUGGGCUUUUUGUGGCUCGAAGGACACACGGAGGGAAGCGUCCGCGCGUGGGAACAAGGACUUCUCCCAACUCCUUCCAAGUGGGUCGUCCACGGACGCACGGGCUUUCCGAAUUCGCCCGGCGUUAUGCUGACCACUUGCGAGCGCCGCGCACACCUGCGGAUAAGGAAACCAGUAUCUGUCUGAACACAGUCCUCCAGGAGAAAACCGUCCGGUUUGGAGCCUCCGCCCACCCCCAGAGGAAAACCUACAGAUUUGUGCCACGGUUCCUAAUACCUAAGUGAGAGGCAGACACCCGGCAACCCCGGCAAAGGCGCGUCUUAGGCUCACCGGACGCUCCCUGAACCCGUCCCUCUGGCUGCCGAGCCCCCAGCGCCUUCCCGUUUCGGAAAGAAGCGGGCGCAGACCCCUCGGGGUGCCCCGGGGGACGGCAGGUCCCGCUGGUUGCUAUAGGAAGAGGCGGGGCGCUGGAACCCCAGCGCUGGGAGCUGCGCGCACCGGGAUCCGCUGGCCGCCUUCCGCGUGAGGGUGGCCGCACCUUCCCGGGCGCACAGAGCCCAGCAGGCGCACAGAGCCCAGCAGGCAAACAGAGCCCGCCAGGCGCACAGAGCCCUCUGCAUCAUUGCUCACCUGCAUCACGGCUUUUAGGCCCAGAUGCCAACAAAGUUAGAAUCCAAGUGAGCAUCUGGGCCCCCAGUGAUUACAAAGCUGAGCAGUUAAGUACAAAGUCAUGCCUGUCUUUUGUGCUCUGUCACCCAGGCUGGAGUGCAGUGACGUGAUCUCGGCUCAUGGCAACCUCCGCCUCCCGGGUUCAAGUGAUUCUCCUGCCUCAGCCUCCUGAGUAGCUGGGAUUACAGGCAUGCACCACCACACUCGGCUAAUUUUUGUAUUUUUAGUAGAGACGGGGUUUCAUCAUGUUGGCCAGGCUGGUCUCGAACUCCUGACCUCAGGCGAUCUGCCCGCCUCCGCCUCCCAAGUAGCUGGGACUACAGGUGUGCACCAUCAUACCCAGCUAGUUUUUAAGUUUUUUGUAGAGGCAAGGUCUUGUUGUGUUGCCCAGGCUGGUCUCAAACUCUUAGGCUCAAGUAAUCCUCCUCCCUUGGCCUCCUGAAGCACUGGGAUUACAAGCACGAGCCACCACAUUUGGAUGAGAUGCCUUUUCUAAUAACCAUGUAUGAAACUGCACCCAGACCACCAGCCUCCAUGUCCAUGACAGAAAAUCCUGACACAGGCUGGGCACUGUGGCUCACGCCUGUAAUCCCAGUACUUUGGGA
rnacentral:lncRNA from 10 species